rnacentral:rRNA from 1 species
GACGAACGCUGGCGGCGUGCUUAACACAUGCAAGUCGAACGGAAAGGCCCUUCGGGGUACUCGAGUGGCGAACGGGUGAGUAACACGUGGGUGAUCUGCCCUGCACUUUGGGAUAAGCCUGGGAAACUGGGUCUAAUACCGAAUAGGACCACGCGCUUCAUGGUGUGUGGUGGAAAGCUUUUGCGGUGUGGGAGGGGCCCGCGGCCUAUCAGCUUGUUGGUGGGGUAAUGGCCUACCAAGGCGACGACGGGUAGCCGGCCUGAGAGGGUGACCGGCCACACUGGGACUGAGAUACGGCCCAGACUCCUACGGGAGGCAGCAGUGGGGAAUAUUGCACAAUGGGCGCAAGCCUGAUGCAGCGACGCCGCGUGAGGGAUGACGGCCUUCGGGUUGUAAACCUCUUUCAAUAGGGACGAAGCGCAAGUGACGGUACCUGAGAAGAAAGCCCCGGCUAACUACGUGCCAGCCGCCGCAGUAAAAC